rnacentral:rRNA from 1 species
AAGAUGGCGACCGGCGCACGGGUGAGUAACACGUAUCCAACCUGCCGAUAACUCGGGGAUAGCCUUUCGAAAGAAAGAUUAAUACCCGAUGGCAUAGUUCUUCCGCAUGGUAGAACUAUUAAAGAAUUUCGGUCAUCGAUGGGGAUGCGUUCCAUUAGGUUGUUGGCGGGGUAACGGCCCACCUAGUCUUCGAUGGAUAGGGGUUCUGAGAGGAAGGUCCCCCACAUUGGAACUGAGACACGGUCCAA